GUAUGGAGAUUCGCUAAUAUUCAAGCAGUCUAUCAAUUUUUUUUGUUGUUGGUAUAUAAACAAUUGUAAGAAUAUACCAUAAAUCUAUACGGAUGUCCUUUGACUACUUGCCGAAAUCCUUUUUGCCCCAGCCGAUAGGUCUCUAGACGUUACAGAGAACCUUGAACAACCCAAUUUGCUAAUCUCCAAUACCGCUUUAUACUCACGACCUUGUAUCC
rnacentral:lncRNA from 1 species